AUGUGGCACCUGCUCCUGCGAUGCCCGUUUACGCGGCAGGUCUGGCACGACGUGCUGGCUUGGGCAAGGAUACCUUCUCAACCGCCAAGCAAUGAGCCCACCCUCACGGACUGAUGGCAACGAAUGAAAGGGCAGACCCCACAUGCGCUACGGAAAGGCCUGCAAUCUAUCGCCAUGCUCGUCCCUUGGAUGAUUUGGAAACAACGCAACGAGUGCGUCUUCGACAAUGCGCGCCCCUCGGUUACCGCUAAGGAUGGCAAUGGGUCGGGUUUGGAUCGGGUUGAACAAUAUAGAAUCCAUAUCUAUAUCCAUGAAGACAGUCUUUGCCCACCCAUGAAAAAAUCCACGGGUGAAAAUUUGUGUCCAUGUCCAAACCCGAUGGAUAUCCAUACCCACUGGAUAUCCACUGGGUCCUCUCAAGACAUAUAA
rnacentral:rRNA from 1 species